UCAUGCAUACAUUUAUUUGAGCUGGUACAAGUAUUUUACCAUCACAAUACUACCAUUUCUGUUGAUUUGAAUCUCUUAAUUGGUACAGUUGAAAAGAGGUGCACAGAUGAAGCUAACUAUUAGUUUUGAGCUUUAUCUUUAUUGCAGUGAUCAACGCAAUUGAGCAAUCUCAGAAUAUGAGAGCAAUGGGGAGUGGGUCAUCUUAACAAAGGGAAUAAAUAUUUAUUUACCAAAUCAUGGUGACUGUUUAGAUUGAAGUCAUUUGAGGGAGUGCAGGUUAAAUUUGAGUGCCUGAGUCAGCUUAAUUGUUUUGAAGGAUUAUGGCUUCUCCUUUGUGUUCUUGUCACUGUCCUAAGGCUUUCAAAGAGAUUUCAAGAGAAAAAUUAAUGCAUCACUUAACAGCUAAUGCCUAUCAUAUAAUUGUGCCAUGUCUUUCUGGAAGUAUCCACAGAUCACAGGAUGAGUAGCGCUUUCAAAUAAAGAACAAAGCUGUUACUGAAUAAAAGCUGACGAGGUCAAUUUCAUGAUUUAUCAGCUAACGAUAAGUAGCUAUAGCAACCACUUCAUGAUUACAUCAGUGGGUGUGGUUUUUAACACCUACUGUGUCGGAGUGAUGUGACAAUGACUGUACAAGACUUUGUUAUUUUUAUGUAAUUUUAACUCAUUUUUCUGAAAGACAAUGUCUGAUUACUGGUUAUAAUUUAGCCCAAUUCCUGUGGGCAUUCUUCAGUAUCAUUAAGAGAGCAAAGAGAAGUGAUACAGGCUAAAGAAGCAAAAAGAAUUGGGCUCAGCAGUUGACCUCAAAGAAGAAUAGGAUUAUUAGUCAAGGAUAAAACCAUCUUGGCAACCGAA